AACAGGAUUAGAUACCCUGGUAGUCCACGCCGUAAACGAUGUCGACUUGGAGGUUGUUCCCUUGAGGAGUGGCUUCCGGAGCUAACGCGUUAAGUCGACCGCCUGGGGAGUACGGCCGCAAGGUUAAAACUCAAAUGAAUUGACGGGGGCCCGCACAAGCGGUGGAGCAUGUGGUUUAAUUCGAUGCAACGCGAAGAACCUUACCUACUCUUGACAUCCACGGAAUUUGGCAGAGAUGCCUUAGUGCCUUCGGGAACCGUGAGACAGGUACUGCAUGGCUGUCGUCAGCUCGUGUUGUGAAAUGUUGGGUUAAGUCCCGCAACGAGCGCAACCCUUAUCCUUUGUUGCCAGCGAUUCGGUCGGGAACUCAAAGGAGACUGCCGGUGAUAAACCGGAGGAAGGUGGGGAUGACGUCAAGUCAUCAUGGCCCUUACGAGUAGGGCUACACACGUGCUACAAUGGCGCAUACAAAGAGAAGCGAUCUCGCGAGAGCAAGCGGACCUCACAAAGUGCGUCGUAGUCCGGAUCGGAGUCUGCAACUCGACUCCGUGAAGUCGGAAUCGCUAGUAAUCGUGGAUCAGAAUGCCACGGUGAAUACGUUCCCGGGCCUUGUACACACCGCCCGUCACACCAUGGGAGUGGGUUGCAAAAGAAGUAGGUAGCUUAACCUUCGGGAGGGCGCUUACCACUUUGUGAUUCAUGACUGGGGUGAAGUCGUAACAAGGUAACC
rnacentral:rRNA from 1 species